AGCAUCUGCAUGGGGAACUCCUCCAGAUACUCAAAGAUGGUGGCGUUCCUGGGGACAGGGGCACACGAUGGGGGAAACAUUAUCUGUGGACCUGGGACUGCCCUUACACAGCUGUGACACUGGGACACCCCACACAACUUCCUGCCUCCUCAAAAUGAAUCAACACAACACUCAAAUCCAAUAGUGGCAAAGACACAGACAAUUCACGUGACAAGAGGCUCGGUCUGCCAGCGGUCACAGGAAAGGAUGUUCGCCUCAUGAGACAGACAGAAACCUGGUUCUCUGGAGGAAACAAGCAUGCACAGGGUAUAAAAUAUAUCAUCUGGAAAUCAACAGCGAAACAUGAUUAUCUUUCCACGCCAAACUGGAAGGAGAGUGAAAUGUGGAAGCUAGCAUCAAGGCAAGUGAGGCAUCAAAUCAGAUGCAGAAACAUCAGGAAGAAGGACACUUAUGGUGUUUUUAUGGUCAAAUUAACUGGCCCAUGUUAGCACUUGUCAUGCGAUAAAGCACCCAUCCAGUGGGCUACCCAGAGUGCAGAAAACUGGCACUGUUGAUACCAAGAGUUUUAAAAAAAGAGCUGAUAUAAUCUAGGUGCCAUUUUUAAUGAAAUUUGUUGGUACCCAAAGUUUAUGUGUACAUAAUGCUUCCCAGGUGCACUGCCUCCAGGAAUUACCUUAUUUAGUCCUUACCAUGGCCCCACGGGGAAGAAAGUCCACCUCAUUUACCUCUCCGAUGUCAGGGGAGGACCAACAGGCUUAGGGAGCUUAGGGAGCCUCACAGUCUGAGACCACCCAGCUGUUCCCCAAGGUGAGCUGUCCCCAAGCUCAGCAUUACUGCCAAUGUAGGUACUUCACCCACACAGGGCUGACACAUGGAGCAUGCACCCCCAGGUUACACCUUAUCUGGGACUUCUCUAGACCAGUGGUCCCCAGCCUUUUUGGCACCAGGGACUGGUCUUGUGGAAGACAAUUUUUCUAUAGCCUCAGGGCGGGGUGGGUGGUUUGGGGAUGAUUCUUAUAAGAAGCACACAACCUAGAUCCCUCGCACUCACAGUUCACAGUAGGGUUUGCACUCCUGUGAGAAUCUAAUGCCACCACUGAUCCGACAGAAGGCGGAGCUCAGGCAGCACUGUGAGCGAUGGAGAGCUCCUAUAAAUAUACAUGAAACUUUGCUUGCUCACCAGCCACUCACCUCCUGCCGUGCGGCCUGGUUCCGGUCCAUAGCCCAGGGGUUGGGAACCCCUGCUCUAGACAUAUCCUCAGACCAUGAAAACCCACUGCUGUCUGCCCCAGAUGGGAAUUUAUGACAAUCAACUGCUGAUAAGCAAUACCUUUAAGACUGCUCUAAGGGAAUAAGGCAUAUGUUUGC